CCUACGGGAGGCAGCAGUGGGGGAUAUUGCACAAUGGGGGAAACCCUGAUGCAGCGACGCCGCGUGAGUGAAGAAGUAUUUCGGUAUGUAAAGCUCUAUCAGCAGGGAAGAAAAUGACGGUACCUGACUAAGAAGCCCCGGCUAACUACGUGCCAGCCGCCGCGGUAAU
rnacentral:rRNA from 1 species